AAAGACUACAGUUUUACACUGUUUAUAUCCAACGUUUGAUCGUACGUCUUAUUUAAAAAUAAUUAUGAUUAAUAUUUUUAUUGUUAUUAGAAUGAUAAAACACGAAUAAUACUUUAUGUGUGACUUUUUUUUAAUUUUUUAUAAAUUAUUUAAAUAAGACGUAUGGUCGAAAGUUGAAAAAAAAAUUCACAACU
rfam:Oryza meridionalis cultivar OR44 (W2112) chromosome 8, whole genome shotgun sequence.